GAGCUUUCUCGCGGGGGAUAAAGAUUAAGCGCAAAGGCUCAUUAAACAGUUAUAGUUUAUUUGAUACAUUAAAUGGAUAACUGUAGAAAAACUAGAGCUAAUACAUGCCAAAGCCUCACGGUUGUAUUUAUUAGAUAUUCCAAUUAGGUGAAUCAUAAUAACUUCGCAAAUCUCGGUUUUGCCGAGAUAAAUCAUCCAAGUUUCUGCCCUAUCACGCUUUCGUUGGUAACGAACGAGACCUUAACCUGCUAACUAGAUUCAUCAGUAUUACUGCCGCACACCAACUUAGAGGGACUAAAACUGCGAAUGGCUCAUUAAAACAGUUAUAGUUCAUUUGAUACCACAAAUGGAUAACUGUAGAAAAACUAGAGCUAAUACAUGCUUUAAUCGUAAGAUUGUACUUAUUAGAUAUUCUGAAUUGGUGAAUCAUAAUAACUUCGCAAAUCUCGUUUAUGACGAGAUAAAUCAUCCAAGUUACUGCCCUAUCAGCUUUCGAUGGUAGUGUAUUGGACUACCAUGGCUUUCACGGGUAACAGGAAUUAGGGUUCGAUUCUGGAGAAGGAGCCUGAGAACGGCUACUACAUCUACGGAAGGCAGCAGGCGCGUAAAUUACCCAUCUGACUCAGGAGUGGUGACAAGAUAUACACGCAUUCAUGUGAUGUAUGAAGAUCACGACCAUAUACGAUAAGCAGUGGUGCAGACCGGAUCCGCUAAACGAUAAAGUGCGCUUAAACCGAAGAUCACAAGAUGGUCUCUCGAUGACCACAACCG
rnacentral:rRNA from 1 species